UACAGAGGUCUCAAGCGUUGUUCGGAUUCAUUGGGCGUAAAGGGUGCGUAGGCGGCGCGGUAAGUCGGGUGUGAAAUCUUGGAGCUUAACUCCGAAACUGCAUUCGAUACUGCCGUGCUUGAGGACUGGAGAGGAGACUGGAAUUUACGGUGUAGCGGUGAAAUGCGUAGAUAUCGUAAGGAAGACCAGUGGCGAAGGCGGGUCUCUGGACAGUUCCUGACGCUGAGGCGACGAAGGCCGGGUAGGGACGCAAA
rnacentral:rRNA from 1 species